rnacentral:rRNA from 1 species
CACGCUGUAAACGAUGGAUGCUAGCUGUAUUCGGUAUCGACCCCGGAUGUAGCGAAGCUAACGCGUUAAGCAUCCCGCCUGUGGAGUACGGUCGCAAGACUAAAACAUAAAGGAAUUGAC